rnacentral:rRNA from 1 species
GAUCCUGGCUCAGGAUGAACGCUAGCGACAGGCUAACACAUGCAAGUCGAGGGGCAGCACGGGAGUAGCAAUACAACUGGUGGCGACCGGCGCACGGGUGAGUAACGCGUAUGCAACCUACCUAUCAGAGGGGAAUAACCCGGCGAAAGUCGGACUAAUACCGCAUAAAACAGGGGCACCGCAUGGUGAUAUUUGUUAAAGAGAUUCGCUGAUAGAUGGGCAUGCGUUCCAUUAGGUAGUUGGUGAGGUAACGGCUCACCAAGCCGACGAUGGAUAGGGGAACUGAGAGGUUGGUCCCCCACACUGGUACUGAGACACGGACCAGACUCCUACGGGAGGCAGCAGUGAGGAAUAUUGGUCAAUGGGCGGGAGCCUGAACCAGCCAAGUCGCCGUGAAGGAAGAAGGAUCUAUGGUUCGUAAACUUCUUUUGCAGGGGAAUAAAGUGCAGGACGUGUCCUGUUUUGUAUGUACCCUGAGAAUAAGGAUCGGCUAACUCCGUGCCAGCCGCCGC